AUGCUGUAGAUAUCACUACCAGAUUGGGCAAUAAACAUUUUUAUACAGAUGUUACAAUGCAUGAAGAUGAUGUGAUAAUGUAUUCGACUUUGAAGUACAUGUAAACAAAUUAGACGACACCGACGUAAUAUCUUAUGAGAAUAACUAUUACGAUUUAGAAAAUAACAAUACAAAGGCUGAAUCAAAAAUCAUCGCCCAUGAAAUAUUACAAGAUUCUGCUCACGAGUAUUGUAAUAGGAUCCUUUUAUUGAACAGAUCAAUUCUGAAGAUAAUUCGCCUAACUUUUCCAAACUCAAGGUAGAUGAUUCACGUACAUGUUAUAUUGAAGAUUAUAGUACUGAUGUUAAAAAUAAACACACAAAUGCAGUUACUCGUUAUCAAUAAAAAAUUAUCAGCAAUGUUCCAUUCAGAGGAAAAAUAAACUUUCAGCCCAAAAUUGAAAGUUCAGAUUCAGAAAAUCACCAAGUUACUUCUCUCGAUAAAGUACGAAGAAGUAGACCCAAUAGUCGUUGACGAGCUAAGUUGUAAUUUACUCUGUAACCUUGCAGUAUAUUUUUCAGUUCAGACGCAGAAAUAGAGUUCAUUAAUACAGAAACAGAUUUUUUGAAGUCAAAUGUUUCUUAUGAUAAACAAGGAAACUUCGUAGAGAAUGAUAAUGAUAAAGAUGUGGACUACGAGCCUGAAGAAGAUUCAGAUAAUGAAUGUGAUGAAAAUUUAGAUGAAUCAGAUAAUGAGCCCAUUGCAAAAAAGCGAAAGACAACUUUUUCAGAAGAAUUGAAGAGAAGUUCUAUGAAAGAUAUUAAACUAUGUCAUAUGAAGUGGCCGAACUCGGAUAAUAGAGAAACCUCUGCUUUAUCUCCCUCCCCCUAUCUUCUCCAAUCUUUACCUCCUUCGAUAUCUUUCAAUCUCUCCGCCCUCCGCCCCUCUCUCUCUCUCUCUCUCUCUCUCUACGCGGAUGACCUGCAGAUCUACAGCCAAUGCUACCUCGAGGAGCUUGACUCCUGUUCUGUCAGG